ACGAACGCUGGCGGCAGGCCUAAUACAUGCAAGUCGAACGGCUCUUCGGAGCAGUGGCGGACGGGUGAGUAACGCGUGGGAAUGUGCCCUUUGGUACGGGACAACACAGGGAAACUUGUGCUAAUACCGUAUGUGCCCUUCGGGGGAAAGAUUUAUCGCCAUUGGAGCAGCCCGCGUUGGAUUAGGUAGUUGGUGAGGUAAAGGCUCACCAAGCCUACGAUCCAUAGCUGGUCUGAGAGGAUGACCAGCCACACUGGGACUGAGACACGGCCCAGACUCCUACGGGAGGCAGCAGUAGGGAAUCUUGCGCAAUGGGCGAAAGCCUGACGCAGCCAUGCCGCGUGUAUGAUGAAGGUCUUAGGAUUGUAAAAUACUUUCACCGGGGAAGAUAAUGACGGUACCCGGAGAAGAAGCCCCGGCUAACUUCGUGCCAGCAGCCGCCGCGGUAA
rnacentral:rRNA from 1 species